rnacentral:rRNA from 1 species
CUACGGGUCGCUGCAGUGAGGAAUAUUGCACAAUGGGGGGAACCCUGAUGCAGCAACGCCGCGUGGAGGAUGACGCAUUUCGGUGUGUAAACUCCUUUUAUAUGUCAAGAAAAUGACGGUAGCAUAUGAAUAAGCACCGGCUAACUCCGUGCCGGCAGCCGCGGUAAUACGGAGGGUGCAAGCGUUACUCGGAAUCACUGGGCGUAAAGGACGCGUAGGCGGGUUGGAAAGUCAGGUGUGAAAUCCUACAGCUUAACUGUAGAACUGCACUUGAAACUUCUAAUCUAGAGUAUGGGAGGGGGAGAUGGAAUUAGUGGUGUAGGGGUAAAAUCCGUAGAUAUCACUAGGAAUACCUAAAGCGAAGGCGAUCUCCUGGAACAUUACUGACGCUAAGGCGUGAAAGCGUGGGGAGCAAACAGGAUUGGAUACCCCGGUAGUC